AGGUCCGGCAUAAUCUCGGGAAACUGAGGAUAAUUCCGGAUAGCUCUUUUUGGCUGGAAUUGCAUUAAGAGUCAAAGUUCUUCGCCUAAGGAUGGGUCUGCGGCCUAUCAGGUAGUAGAGGGUGUAACGCACCUUCCAGCCGACAACGGGUACGGGUUGUGAGAGCAAGAGCCCGGAGAUGGAUUCUGAGACAUGAAUCCAGGCCCUACGGGGCGCAGCAGGCGCGAAAACUUUACAAUGCAGGAAACUGUGAUAAGGAAACACCGAGUGCCCGCAUCUAAUGCGGGCUGUCCAUAUACUCAAAAAGUAUGUGUUAGCAAGGGCCGGGCAAUACCGGUGCCAGCCGCCGCGGUAAUACCGGUGGCCCGAGUGGUAGCCGCUUUUAUUUGGUCUAAAGGGUCCGUAGCCGGUCCGGUCAGUCCAUUGGUAAAUCCGCGCGCCCAACGCGCGGUCUUCAGUGGAUACUUCCGGACUUGGGACCGGGAGAGGUAAGAGGUACUAUAGGGGUAGGAGUGAAAUCUUGUAAUCCUUAUGGGACCACCUGUGGCGAAGGCGUCUUACCAGAACGGGUCCGACGGUGAGGGACGAAAGCUGGGGGCACGAACCGGAUUAGAUACCCGGGUAGUCCCAGCCGUAAACUAUGCCCGCUGGGUGUCAGGCAUGGCGUGACUGUGUCUGGUGCCGUAGAGAAGUCGUGAAGCGGGCCACCUGGGAAGUACGGCCGCAAGGCUGAAACUUAAAGGAAUUGGCGGGGGGAGCACUACAAACGGG
rnacentral:rRNA from 1 species